UGGGGUGUGGCUCAGCGGCAGAGUGCUUGCCUAGCAUGCAUGAAGCCCUGGGUUCCAUACCCAGGUCCACAA
rnacentral:tRNA from 1 species